CCGAUCGUAAAAAAAUGAACAAAGGACUUUUAAAUUUUACUCAAAAAUCGUGAGACGCGUGGCGUUGCGACGCGGUAAAUAAGCAGGUAUAAAAGGAUUGGGAAAACGGGCGAAGAGCACAGUUGGAAAACCUUCGUUGACCCGCUAAAACCAUCAACCAUGAAGUCCGCCACGCUUUUGCUGAUUCUGACCGUCGCAAUCGUUGCCGCUGUCUUGCCGGCCGUCAAUGCCAAGCCUCACAUGCGGCGAAGUCCAGGCACAGACGCCAUCACCGGUUCUGGCUCCAAGGGCAGUUCCGACGGUUCCAGUACGUCUGACGGGGCUGCGACCGACACUGAUUCAACAUCAAAGGGAUUGGUGUCUGCAAAUGAUUUGGGUGUAGCGGCUCCGGUCAUCCCGACCAAGUAGUGAGAAGAUCUAAGUUCGAAGAACCAAGCCGUGUCUAAUUAUUAUUCCAUAUGCAUAUACAAAUCAUAUAUAUCUAUAUCUUCAACCAGGGUAGUUAAGAAUUUUACCGAAGGUCUGCGUUACGACAUUCUGUUUCGAUACAGCUUGAGCACGACUUCGGACCUCGAAACCCGAGGUUUUGCAAAAAAUCCGAAUUUACGACAACGGUAGAAAUAAAAUUACCAAAAAUAUGUAUCCAACCUGCACAGAGACACGUUGCAUUGAAAAUAAAAUUGUGCUUGUAUGAAAAA